rnacentral:rRNA from 1 species
CCUACGGGUGGCAGCAGUGGGGAAUAUUGCACAAUGGGGGAAACUCUGAUGCAGCGAUGCCGCGUGAGCGAUGAAGUAUUUCGGUAUGUAAAGCUCUAUCAGCAGGGAAGAAAAUGACGGUACCUGACUAAGAAGCCCCGGCUAACUACGUGCCAGCAGCCGCGGUAAUACGUAGGGGGCAAGCGUUAUCCGGAUUUACUGGGUGUAAAGGGAGCGUAGACGGCUGUGCAAGCCAGAUGUGAAAGGCCGGGGCUCAACCCCGGGACUGCAUUUGGAACUGUGUGGCUGGAGUGUAGGGGUGGCAGGCGGAAUUCAUGGUGGAGCGGUGAAAUGCGUAGAUAUUAGGAGGAACACC